CAUUGCCGCCGACCAAUUGACUCGGUGUCCCGUGAACAUGUCCCUUAUAUGCUAAAGUGGGAGGAAGCGACACUUCCGCCCAUGCCCCAAGCCACGUGUGUCUUGCGGGAACCAACGAACCCCCGGCGCGGAUUGCGUCAAGGAGCACGGAGGAUGUUGAUGGAGGUGCAUGUAAUCCCAUCGCAUAUGGGGUGCGUUUGCCUCCAUCCUUUCACCUAAAAGGGAGAUGACUCUCGGCAACGGAUAUCUAGGCUCUCGCAUCGAUGAAGAACGUAGCGAAAUGCGAUAUAUGGUGUGAAUUGCAGAAUCCCGUGAACCAUCGAGUCUUUGAACGCAAGUUGCGCCUGAGGUCGUGAGGCCGAGGGCACGCCUUCCUGGGCGUCUAUUGUACCAUCGUUGCCCCCCCCGCUUACGUGCGGCGGCAACGGAAUAUGGCCUUCCGCGUUUUGACGCGGUGGCCGAAUGUCGUUUUUGGGGCUAUGCCUCCGCGUCAUGCCUGGUGGUGAGUUUUCCAUCGGCCCCUCAAAGUCGUGACGUGGGCGCCCCCUGCUUGCUCUGCCCAUGCUCUGCAACAGUAGCGACCCCAGGUAAGAC
rnacentral:rRNA from 1 species